GGUUCCAUAGAGUAGUGGUUAGCAUAUCUGCUUUACACACAAAAGGUCCUGGGUUCAAGCCCCAGCAGAGCCA
rnacentral:tRNA from 1 species